AUGGUUCUAGGCAAGGAGAGCCAGCUCCUGCUUCAGGCGCCCGAGAGCACAGAGCUGGAGGAGCUCAGGGUGCAGGUGGCCCAUGUGCACCACUACAACUGGCGGCUCAAAGUGCAGCACCUCUGCUCAGAAAUGGAAGAAUUACCAGGACAUGGCGUAUUUCUCCCUCCUAACAUGCAAGGACUGACUGAUGACCAGAUUGAAGAAUUGAAGUUGAGGGAUGAAUGGGGUGAAAAAUGUAUGCCCAGUUGGGGUUUAGUGUUUAAAAAGGAUGACGUUGGAUGAAGGAAUAGGCAAGCUCCAAAUGAAAAAAUGAAACAAGUUUUAAAGAAGACUAUAGAAGAAGCCAAAGCAAUAAUAUCUAAGAAACAAGUGGAAGCCAGAGUCUGUAUCACUAUGGAGAUGGUGAAAGACGCCUUGGAUCAGCUUCGAUGGGCAGUGAUGAUUGUUUAUCCCAUGGGGUUGCCAUCCUAUGAUCCCAUCCGGAUGGAGUUUGAAAAUAAGAUUUGUCAGGAACUCAGGCAGGACUCAACGUGAUUAAAGAUUCAGCAAAGGGGACAGGGAGCUCUAGCCCGAGAACCUAUAAUUAGCAGCGAGGAGCAGAAGCAGCUGAUGCUGUAUUAUCACAGGAGACAAGAGGAACUCAAGAGAUUGGAAGAAAAUGAUGAUGACACCUGUUUAAAUUCUCCAUGGGCAGAUAACACUGCUUUGAAAAGACAUUUUCAUGGGGUAAAAGACAAAAAGUGGAGACCAAGAUGAAGUUCACCAGUUGAUGAAGCUUUCAAAAACAUUAGCUCACCUUUCUUUUAGGCAAACGAAUUAUAAU